rnacentral:rRNA from 1 species
UGAGAGAACUCGGGUGAAGGAACUAGGCAAAAUGGUGCCGUAACUUCGGGAGAAGGCACGCUGACACGUAGGUGAAGUGAUUUACUCAUGGAGCUGAAGUCAGUCGAAGAUACCAGCUGGCUGCAACUGUUUAUUAAAAACACAGCACUGUGCAAACACGAAAGUGGACGUAUACGGUGUGACGCCUGCCCGGUGCCGGAAGGUUAAUUGAUGGGGUCAGCGCAAGCGAAGCUCCUGAUCGAAGCCCCGGUAAACGGCGGCCGUAACUAUAACGGUCCUAAGGUAGCGAAAUUCCUUGUCGGGUAAGUUCCGACCUGCACGAAUGGCGUAAUGAUGGCCAGGCUGUCUCCACCCGAGACUCAGUGAAAUUGAACUCGCUGUGAAGAUGCAGUGUACCCGCGGCAAGACGGAAAGACCCCGUGAACCUUUACUAUAGCUUGACACUGAACAUUGAGCCUUGAUGUGUAGGAUAGGUGGGAGGCUUUGAAGUGUGGACGCCAGUCUGCAUGGAGCCGACCUUGAAAUACCACCCUUUAAUGUUUGAUGUUCUAACGUGGACCCGUGAUCCGGGUUGCGGACAGUGUCUGGUGGGUAGUUUGACUGGGGCGGUCUCCUCCUAAAGAGUAACGGAGGAGCACGAAGGUUGGCUAAUCCUGGUCGGACAUCAGGAGGUUAGUGCAAUGGCAUAAGCCAGCUUGACUGCGAGCGUGACGGCGCGAGCAGGUGCGAAAGCAGGUCAUAGUGAUCCGGUGGUUCUGAAUGGAAGGGCCAUCGCUCAACGGAUAAAAGGUACUCCGGGGAUAACAGGCUGAUACCGCCCAAGAGUUCAUAUCGACGGCGGUGUUUGGCACCUCGAUGUCGGCUCAUCACAUCCUGGGGCUGAAGUAGGUCCCAAGGGUAUGGCUGUUCGCCAUUUAAAGUGGUACGCGAGCUGGGUUUAGAACGUCGUGAGACAGUUCGGUCCCUAUCUGCCGUGGGCGCUGGAGAACUGAGGGGGGCUGCUCCUAGUACGAGAGGACCGGAGUGGACGCAUCACUGGUGUUCGGGUUGUCAUGCCAAUGGCACUGCCCGGUAGCUAAAUGCGGAAGAGAUAAGUGCUGAAAGCAUCUAAGCACGAAACUUGCCCCGAGAUGAGUUCUCCCUGAGACUUUAGGUCUCCUGAAGGAACGUUGAAGACGACGACGUUGAUAGGCCGGGUGUGUAAGCGCAGCGAUGCGUUGAGCUAACCGGUACUAAUGAACCGUGAGGCUUAACCUUACA